rnacentral:rRNA from 1 species
GCAUAUCAAUAAGCGGAGGAAAAGAACCCAACCGGGAUUGCCUCAGUAACGGCGAGUGAAGCGGCAAGAGCUCAAAUUUGAAAGCUGGCCCCUCCGGGGUCCGCGUUGUAAUUUGCAGAGGAUGCUUUGGGUGCGGCCCCCGUCUAAGUGCCCUGGAACGGGCCGUCAGAGAGGGUGAGAAUCCCGUCUUGGGCGGGGUGUCCGUGCCCGUGUAAAGCUCCUUCGACGAGUCGAGUUGUUUGGGAAUGCAGCUCUAAAUGGGUGGUAAAUUUCAUCUAAAGCUAAAUACUGGCCGGAGACCGAUAGCGCACAAGUAGAGUGAUCGAAAGAUGAAAAGCACUUUGAAAAGAGAGUUAAACAGCACGUGAAAUUGUUGAAAGGGAAGCGCUUGCGACCAGACUCGCCCUCGGGGUUCAGCCGGCACUCGUGCCGGUGUACUUCCCCGGGGGCGGGCCAGCGUCAGCUUGGGCGGCCGGUCAAAGGCCUCCGGAAUGUAGUGCCCCCCGGGGCACCUUAUAGCCGGAGGUGCAAUGCGGCCAGCCUGGGCUGAGGAACGCGCUUCGGCACGGACGCUGGCAUAAUGGUCGCAAACGACCCGUCUUGAAACACGGACCAAGGAGUCUAACAUCUACGCGAGUGUUCGGGUGUCAAACCCGUACGCGCAGUGAAAGCAAACGGAGGUGGGAGCCCCCUCGCGGGGCGCACCAUCGACCGAUCCUGAUGUCUUCGGAUGGAUUUGAGUAAGAGCGUAAAUGUGGGGACCCGAAAGAUGGUGAACUAUGCCUGAAUAGGGCGAAGCCAGAGGAAACUCUGGUGGAGGCUCGCAGCGGUUCUGACGUGCAAAUCGAUCGUCAAAUUUGGGUAUAGGGGCGAAAGACUAAUCGAACCAUCUAGUAGCUGGUCUGCGA